UACGAAGGGAGCUAGCGUUGUUCGGAAUCACUGGGCGUAAAGCGCACGUAGGCGGAUUUGUUAGUCAGGGGUGAAAUCCCGGGGCUCAACCUCGGAACUGCCUUUGAUACUGCAGAUCUAGAGUCCGAUAGAGGUGGGUGGAAUUCCUAGUGUAGAGGUGAAAUUCGUAGAUAUUAGGAAGAACACCGGUGGCGAAGGCGGCCCACUGGAUCGGUACUGACGCUGAGGUGCGAAAGCGUGGGGAGCAAACAGG
rnacentral:rRNA from 1 species